AUUGAACGCUGGCGGCAGGCCUAACACAUGCAAGUCGAACGGUAACAGGAAGAAGCUUGCUUCUUUGCUGACGAGUGGCGGACGGGUGAGUAAUGUCUGGGAAACUGCCUGAUGGAGGGGGAUAACUACUGGAAACGGUAGCUAAUACCGCAUAACGUCGCAAGACCAAAGAGGGGGACCUUCGGGCCUCUUGCCAUCGGAUGUGCCCAGAUGGGAUUAGCUAGUAGGUGGGGUAACGGCUCACCUAGGCGACGAUCCCUAGCUGGUCUGAGAGGGUGACCAGCCACACUGGAACUGAGACACGGUCCAGACUCCUACGGGAGGCAGCAGUGGGGAAUAUUGCACAAUGGGCGCAAGCCUGAUGCAGCCAUGCCGCGUGUAUGAAGAAGGCCUUCGGGUUGUAAAGUACUUUCAGCGGGGAGGAAGGGAGUAAAGUUAAUACCUUUGCUCAUUGACGUUACCCACAGAAGAAGCACCGGCUAACUCCGUG
rnacentral:rRNA from 1 species